UACGUAGGCAGCAAGCGUUGUUCGGAGUUACUGGGCGUAAAGGGUGCGUAGGCGGCUUUUUAAGUUUGGUGUGAAAUCUCCCGGCUCAACUGGGAGGGUGCGCCGAAUACUGAGAGGCUAGAGUGUGGGAGAGGAAAGUGGAAUUCCUGGUGUAGCGGUGAAAUGCGUAGAUAUCAGGAGGAACACCGGUGGUGUAAACGGCUUUCUGGACCAUAACUGACGCUGAGGCGCGAAAGCGUGGGGAGCAAACAGG
rnacentral:rRNA from 1 species